GGGCAUUCGAGUGCGGUCCUUCGGGGCCAACCUCCCACCCGUGUUGCCCGAACCUAUGUUGCCUCGGCGGGCCCCGCGCCCGCCGACGGCCCCCCUGAACGCUGUCUGAAGUUGCAGUCUGAGACCUAUAACGAAAUUAGUUAAAACUUUCAACAACGGAUCUCUUGGUUCCGGCAUCGAUGAAGAACGCAGCGAAAUGCGAUAACUAAUGUGAAUUGCAGAAUUCAGUGAAUCAUCGAGUCUUUGAACGCACAUUGCGCCCUCUGGUAUUCCGGAGGGCAUGCCUGUCCGAGCGUCAUUGCUGCCCUCAAGCCCGGCUUGUGUGUUGGGCCCCGUCCCCCCCGCCGGGGGGACGGGCCCGAAAGGCAGCGGCGGCACCGCGUCCGGUCCUCGAGCGUAUGGGGCUUCGUCACCCGCUCUAGUAGGCCCGGCCGGCGCCAGCCGACCCCCAACCUUUAAUUAUCUCAGGUUGACCUCGGAUCAGGUAGGGAUACCCGCUGAACUUAAGCAUAUCAAAAGGCCGGAGGAA
rnacentral:rRNA from 1 species